AGUAGUAAUGUUCUUGGCUUUAACCCCGGAAAAAGAGCUUUUAGCCACCCAUAACCAUAAUCAACAUUCAAAUAAUUGUAUGAAUGAUUAAAACCAUAAAGAAACUAAAUUAAAGAAUAAAAAAAACCUAAAAAUAAAGUUACGGUAGCCUCCAAUGUUGUCCAAGCCGAUUUAGAUGUUCCAAGAUGUACAAAAUGGGUUUUAACACAUUAUAUUUAUAGGAGACCAAUCAUAAACCACGUAGGAUUAGGUUUCCAUACUGUCCUUUUACAGUUGGGCACAAUUUUCCCGCUUUUGAUCAUCAUCGAAUCACGUUAGGAUAUUCAUCGCUAUAAGCCUGCGACUCAGUGUAAUCGUGUUUGAGUUUUUGGAAGUGACAAUUGCAUAUUGUACCAUUAUCACGACACGCCAUUCCCUCCAUUGCUAUUAGCACCCUAUCGCAGUGACAUACUCCCAGGCAUCAUAUUCUCCUCAUGUGGUCUUAUGCUUUCGUCGGUCUACUCCAAGCUUUUGUAUAAUGUUUCCACUUGAUUUGAGGUUUGUAAAUCCUUCAUAUAUCAUCAUAAUCAUCUCACCAAUCCACCUAUAACAUUACACACCCAAAUUAAAUCUCAAAAUAACACAAUGAACUAGUAACUCAAGCUAGAACACUAGUUUUCUCGUCUAGACUUUAAAUGCUCAAAUUGAACCUAAACUCGUGUGAAAAUAAAAUCUAACAUUGUAAGAACAUACUUGGAUACUAAGAUACAUAUUUAUAUCACUAUUAACACGUAACGCACAUGAAUCAUCCUCAAACAAGGCUAAAUGGGCUAGAAUAACAACAUUAGCAUGCAUAAAUACACCCAACAUCAAUACUUACAACAACUUUCUAUUUUGUAGGAUUGUAGAACAGACCACCUUUUGUUCCUUUAGGGUAACAAAUAAAAACACAUACUUCUGGUAUACGUUCCAACUUUUUGGCCUUUCUUUUUAGCACGUGUGCUGGAAAUCCUCAAAUCUGAAUCUGUUUCAGACUAGGUUUAUGCCUAGUCCACUGUUUCAUAGGUGUCACAUGUAUAUACUUGGAAGGAACUAAGUUUAGAAUAUUGUUUGUAGUUUCUAGUGCAUAACCCUAAAAUGAAAAAGGCAAAUUGAAGUAUCUCAUCAUAGAUCUAACCAUUUCUAAAAGAUUCUUGUUUCUUCUUUCUGCUACACUAUUUUGUUGUGAAGUUCUAGGUGUAUAAUUUGAGACGUAAUUCCUUAUUCUGAUAAGUAACUAAUGAACUCGUUGGAGAUAUAUUCACCACCAUGAUCAGAUCGUAAGGACUUGAUACAUUUCUUAUGUUAUUUCUCUAUUUCUGUGUUAAACUCUUUGAAUUUAUCAAAGCAUUCAGAAUAACGACGCAACAAAUAAAUGUAUCUAUAUUUUGAGUAAUCAUCAACAAAAGUCAUAAAAUACUCAUAACCACCUCCCACUUAAACAUUCAUUGGGCCACACAAGUCAGAAUGAAUUAACUCUAAUUUAUCAUUUUCUCUGUUUUCUUUUGAGGGUAAAGGUCUCUUAGUUAUUUUUCCUUUUAAAUAGGAUUCACAUGUUGGUAGAGCAUCCAUUUUUAAUGAACCUAAAGGUCCAUCCAGAACCAACCUCAAAAUCCUGUCUAAAUUUAUGCGACAUAGAUGCAAAUGCCAUAAAUAAGUCUUAUUAAAUUCAGAAAAACACUUUUUUUUACUUGAAAGAUUAAUAAUAUUCAACUCAAUGGUUUGUUGUUGUUCAGGUGAGACAAUAAUUAUAAAAAUACCACCAAUAAAUGUACCCGCAAAGAUAAAAUGUUUAUUCUAAUAACACAAUCAUUAUCAGAAAAAUUAACACCAUAACCAUAUCUUAAAGCUUUAGAAACUGAAAUCAAAUCUCUUUUAAUAGCAGGUGCAUAUAAUGCAUAUUUUAAAAUUAAAAAUAUAGCAUUACUGAAUGAAAUACUAAUAUUUCCUAAUGAUUAGUUGGAUCUGUUGAACCGUUAGCUUGAAGAACAUUAACUUCACCUUUAUUCAACUUGCACAUUUCUUGAAACCACUGUAAAGUAGUGCAAAUGUGACCAUUGUCCCAAAACUACAUACCAUGAUGUGGUAGAACAAUCGCUAAACAUGUUUCAAUGACAAGUGUAAGUCAAUCUAGCUUGUUUUUCUGCUUGGCUAGGAAAACUCGAUAAUGUGUCUUCCAAUGGACUAACAUCUUGCAAUGAAAACACUUGCCGUUAAGCUUUUUCACAUCGCUAGUUAAAGCUACAACGUUCUUAGCAUUGUGAGUCUUUAUCUUCUUCAUUCCACCUUUCGACUUAGAAGUAGAUUUUUUUCUCAACAAAAUUAUGAACUCUCAAAUUUCUUUUGACUCAAAAUAGUGCUAAAGGAGGUAAAAGGAGGCAUAUUGAAUUUGAGAUUGAAAUAUGUUACAAUAGAUCAAUAACAGUCAUAUAAACAUAGAACGAUUAAAUUCGAACUCAUCAUAUACAUAUAUAUUCAUGCAUCUCAAAUAUUCAAUCGAUGGGAUUGGAGAACAACUCAUGCAAUAUACAUAUAUAAUAAUCGAUUAUUCCCUUCAUAAACUUUUAUAGACCUAACUCAGAUGAAGAGUAUACUAUUAGUUUAAGUAAAACCCUACUCUAGCUACAUUGAUCCAAUCAUAUAUUACUCGGUUUAGAAGAGUUAAUACAAAUUAUCAAACUAGCGAUUAAAUACAUAAUAACUUGUGCGAAAUUCAUUCAAUAGGGAGGAAGGUCUAAACCAGCACAUAAACUUAAUACUUAAUUAAUAUUUAAUCUUGAUAAUUAUGGGGAUGAACCCUCUUUACCAAAUAAGUUUUCCUUUCAAAAAAUACCCGAGAGUUUAAGAUAUCACAUUUUCUCCUUUUGGGUGAAAAUAUUUAAUAUCUCUUCUCAUGUACCCUUAUUCAGAAAAAUUUAUACAUAGUACAUUGAUCUAAUUUCAAUGACUCAAAUAAAUAGACUACUUUCGUAGAUUCUAUUUAUUAAUCAUAACUCUCAAUUCAGGUAUUAUAAUCUUACAUAUAUAAAAUUUUAAGAAUUUCAAAUAAUUUUAAAUAAACAAACAAUCUUAAUGAUAAUCAUUUAUCAAUUAUUGAAUUCUUAAUUUAUAAAGCUUCAUAUAUAUUCUACUAUAUGAUAAAGGACAAUAACCACACACCUCUUCAACAUGACUGCUAGGCAUUGAAGGAUAUUCUGUCUUUUAAGCUUUUAAGUCUACAACUAAUACCCCACUGCCUCAUCAAUUCUCUCAGUAUAUUCUUAUCCCUUUCAUCGUUUUUACUCUUCUAGCUACUACUCCACCGCUUCAUCCAUUCACUGUCUAUUCUCAUUCCUUACAUCCAAGAACAAGUUGUGUUUGCCGGUGCUUCAACAACUACUGAGCCAAUCUUGAAUAAUCUUGUAAACCCCAUUAAGAUUUUAGAUAAAGAAGCAAAAGAUAGUCAAAAACUUAUCAUUAUUGAAGACUUUGAUAUAUUUGGUCUUAAUCUUAUUAAAGUUCCUAAAAAGGUUGAUUUUCCUUUUUCAUUUGCUUCUAAUUAUCACAUGGAUCCUUAUAAAAAGGUUUGCAUUUUAUUUCUUUUUUGGCUAUUUAUUGACUUUUCAUCUUCUCUUUUUUUCUUUUUGGAUGUUGCAUGAAGUUUAUUAAGUUUGACUAAUCUUGUUGAUGUUUGUUUGUUGUGUAUGUAUAAAUAAAAUUUGUUUCCAACUUCAGAAUUUGGUUGAUAUUUGUAGAAAAUAUUGCUAAACAAGGAUGAGGAAAAGUAAAGUUUGAAGUUGCAAACUUUACUAAUUUGGAUCUAAUGAAAUAGAUAUUGUAGGCUAGGGUAAUUUCCAGUUUAUUAAGAAAACAAAAAUCUGAAAUUUCUUUCUUUCCUAUACCUAUCUUGUAUUUUGGUUGCUCUAAAAGCCCUGCUUAUUAUUGCUAUAAGCUUUGUUUUGGAGGCAAACAAAAGAUAUGUGUGUUAGAUUGUAGUUUUUGCUAUCUCCCUAAUUGAUUAAUCUGAGGAAUAAUGAAGUUUUUGCUAUAAAUUACCAGUGUUUUAUAUAACCUUAUAUCUGCUAGAUUUUAUUGACGCCUACCGUAUUUGUUUUGUCAAAUGAGGAUCAUGUUUUGAGCAUCAGUUUCAUGAUAUUUAUAUUUUUGCUAUAUUAUUGUAUGUUCAUUUCCUAGAACAAAAAGUAGUGUUAGACAAUUAUGCAGAUUGUUGCUCUAUGGCAUAAGGGGAUUUCUUUUUUCAUUCUUAAUAAAAGAUAUCUAGUCACAUUUGUUUUGACUUGAAUAUUGUCGUCCAGAACUCACAAGAGGCAGAGUUCUUCACAGAAUAUGGAGAGGCAAAUAAAUACCAAAUUCAGGAAGUUAUCGGCAAGGGUAGUGAUAACUAGGCUCUAAAAUCAGUCCAUACAAUGCACUCCAAGGGAGCCCACUUGAAGACUUUGACUAAGGGGUCAUUUUGGACAUUUCACACUAUUCUUGUAAUAUACUAUAAAUACAACCUUCUAGGGAUUCAUUCAUUAGAUUUUGAUGAUGAUGAAUGUUGUAUAACAUUGAAAGACAAGCCCUCUCUCCUUGAGGCACAAAUAUGAAAUUGUAACUAGGAAAAUCAACUUGGUGUGGAAUCACUUGUGUUGGAUUCAAAUUUGGUAACGUUGGUCCUUGGGAGAUUGAGAUCCCUCUUAUGCCUACGUAGGAGAUAGGUUAGUGUUGUGUGUAGUAUUAAAGGUCCAGGGCUGUAACAAUUCUUGGGUUGUUAAUAUUAUUCCCUCAUUUGGUCUAUCUAUCUAUCUUUAUCUUAUUGCACUUUGUAGAUUUAUAGUGGACUGUUUUGUGUCCUUCUUGAAUCCAAAAUUUGUUCUCAUUGUGUUCAUCUUGUUAUCAUUGUGUUGCUGUUGUUUUUGGUGUCAAAUGCACCGUUAUCUCGUAUUGUUGUUGUUGUAAUGAAUCCGAGAGUGGUCUCCAUCUUAGUCCUUAAAUCCUUAAGAUUAGUGGACUAUUUUGGAGAUUAGUGGACUAUUUUGGAGUUGUUUCGUGUUUCCAUUAUUUUUCCCGUAUCAUUAGGUAUCAAAGCCAUCGUUGAUUUUGUUCUAACAAGAUCAAUCUUGGUCUUGAGACUUGAAAACUACAAAAAAAAAAGUUGAAAACUAAAAAUUCCAGAAAAGAAAGCAAUCUGUCCAUUUUGUGUUCUUGCCCGAAAAUUGUGUUUUUGUUGUGUCUUGGCCGAGAUUGUUACUUGUCUUUGUUGUCUCUAAGUGUUUUUUUUUUCAUCACUCACACAUUGAUCCUAAAUCUUGAGUUGAGCUUGAAUUGUUGAGAUUGUUGUUGUGACAAGUUAAUGGUCGUGUAUUGAUGUUGUUGUUCUUGGCCGUGUGGUGACCUUUCUUGUGGACUUGGGCUGGACGUUGUUGGUGUUGUUAUUAUUCUUGAAAAUUUGUUGUAUUCUUACUGUUCAUCAUAAUUUUCACCCCUUGUUAAGACCAAAACACCACACUAAAGGACUUGACCGUUUGUUGGAAGUUUGUAGUUGACCUUGUUGUUGUUCUGGGGAGAUUGUUGUUGAUUUUCUUGGUGAUUGUUGAAGUGUUCUUGAUGUUCUUCCAAACCUUCAUACCUUCUUAAAAUAAAGUGAAAGUUAGAUCCAAAAAGGUGAAUAAAAAAGUGUGAGAACUUUGUUAGUCUUGAAAGACUUACCAUCACUCACCAACAAGUCAAUCACAUCUCAACCACUUUCCCAUAAAACAAGGAUCCAUGUUUUAAAGAGGAGUACAAGUCUAGUGCAAAACUUUGAGUCUUGAAAUUUUAAUUGAAAAAGAAGCUCUAAAGACUACUUUGUGUUUCCCUCUAUUGAACAAGUUCCACCAAAGUUCAAAUUGAAAAAUUGACCAAGACUUGAAAUUGGACAACAAAAGUUAUGUACAACCGAGAACAAUACGUGGCUGCCACAUCAUCAUGUUUUACUGUUCCUGCAACAUAUUUAAGAUCAAAUUUUAGAUUUCUUAGUUUCUAUUUGUUGUUUCUUAGUUUCAAUUUCAUUGGUUCCAAUACUAAUUGACAAACUAGUACUUAUCUACUAAUUGAUUGUUAGUUUUUGUGUUCGUUCAUUCGUGUUACGCAUUUGUUGUGUACUUUUCUCUUUUGUGAAAUCGUUGUAUCUUGUUGGUUCAAGUCCGUAACAAAUUUUGCUUGAGUCAACUCAAACGAAAAUCUAUUCUGGGCAAGAGUAGACUCGACCCUCAAUCACUCGCGAAGUACAAGCCGCCUUUCAACACUUGUGAAACCAAGUGUGAGACGAUCAAGUGUGUGAGAGUGUGAUGAGGUUGUUUCAAACUAACUUGAUGAGGUUGUUUCAAACUAACUUGUGUUUUGUUUUGUAAGUGUUCUUUUCUUUCUUUUUUUUUAGGUACAAUUACAAGAAAAUCCGCGGCUUCCACCUCUCAACCCAUUGACAACAAUGCCACCAAUGUCAUUUUAGCCUACCUUGACACUAUGUCCCGAUACCUAGUUAUGAAAAAUGAAAGGUUGGAUCGUAUGAUAGGUCAAAGGGAGCAAGUGGGCUACCCGAACACACAUCAAGAGGAAGGCCAUAGCUCAUGUGAGCUACGAGGUAAAAACACUAUCACUCCUAUGAACUUAGAAUGUUGUGUUGUGGCUAGUAGGGGCCAAUUGGAUGUAGUUGUUGAUUUACCUAGAGUAGAGGUAUUUGAGUCUCCCUAUGGUGAUACUCUUGGUGAUGUUAGGUUACGUGAGGACCAAACUCUUGUUGUAAGUACGCAAGCACUAAUUAAUCCUUUAGAUGACGAAAUUGAUUCUUCUUGUAAGAAUUAUUUAUGUCCAUCUAGUGCUAGCCAUUAUAACUUGAACAAGAUUCUAUUACCAAUUGACAAGAGUACUCACACACUAGUUGACCCUUGUGUGAACCAAGGUGAGUCUAUGUUGGUAUGUGAGUUACCAACAACUAGUGAGGAUGUGAAUGGAGAUCAACUUACUCAUGAAUGUAUUCCACUACUUGAGCAUAUGUGUGGCGUGCUUAAAAAAUCUCAAGUUAGUGAUGGUGUUUAUAGAGUUGAUCUUGAUGGCGCACGUGACUCUUUGAACAUAUUGUGUGGUAAAAACCUUGCUAGUAGUUUUGUUCAUAGAGAUCAUGUGUAUGGAAAUGUUGUAAAUGAUGGCAUAUGUCUUUCUAAGGUAGGAUUUCUAGGUCGUGUCUCUCUAUUCUUGAAUGUUAGUCUUCUCUUAAAGGCAAAUGUCAUACAUGGUUGUGGGAGUGACAUUCUAGGAGAAGGAAGGGCUAACCUCGGCUUAGACCCUUGGCUACUUCUCCCAUUUGACCCCAACACCCUCCAGGAAUGUGGGAAUUUCUACACUUCCUACUUAAUGCUUGGUCAAGACGAUAAGCAAUGUUUGCUUGUGGGUGCUAAUAAAAGAAGGCAAGGUUCUUCCUUGUCUCUUUUUGUUGAUGAUGACCUAUUCCUUUGUGCCAUUUAUACUAAGAUUUUCAUGUUCAACACAAAGGACCCGUGGGUAUACUUCAAGUUUGUCCUACCUUGGCAUGGCAUGUGAUGUGUUACUUUUGCUAACCCUAACUGCUCAUGUCAUGAGAAUGUGUGCUUGUUUGUUUUAUCUUAAUUUUACAAGCUAAGGAUUCGAGGUCAAAUCCUUUUCAAGAAGGGAAGGAUGAUACGGGUACGACUACGGAGGUGGGUGAGUGCAGGAGUAAAUGAACCCAAGACUUGAAGUGUACACGUGAAGUGCAAAGAAAGGCCUAACUAGGCUCUAAAAUCAGUCCAUACAAUGCACUCCAAGGGAGCCCACUUGAAGACUUUGACUAAGGGGUCAUUUUGGACAUUUCACACUAUUCUUGUAAUACACUAUAAAUACAACCUUCUAGGGAUUCAUUCAUUAGAUUUUGAUAAUGAUGAAUGUUGUAUAACAUUGAAAGAUAAGUCCUCUCUCCUUGAGGCACAAAUCUGAAAUUAUAACUAGGGAAAUCAACUUGAGUGUGGAAUCACUCGUGCUGGAUUCAAGCUUGGAAACGUUGGUCCCUGGGAGAUCGAGAUCCCUCUUGUGCCUACGUAGGAGAUAGGUUAGUGUUGUGUGUAGUAUUAAAGGUCAAAGGGUGUAACAAUUCUUGAGUUGUUAAUAUUAUUCCCUCAUUUGGUCUAUCUAUCUAUCUUUAUCUUAUUGCACUUUGUAGAUUCAUAGUGGACUGUUUUGUGUCCUUCUUGAAUCUGAAAUUUGUUCUCAUUGUGUUCAUCUUGUUAUCAUUGUGUUGCUGCUGUUUUUGGUGUCAAAUGCACCGUUGUUAUCUCGUAUUGUUGUUGUAGUGAAUCCGAGAGUGGUCUCCAUCUUAGUCCUCAAAUCCUUAAGAUUAGUGGACUGUUUUUGAGUUGUUUCGUGUUUUCAUUGUUUUUCCCGUAUCAGGUAGCUAUGGAGUUGUGGCUUCUGCUAUUGAUACCAAAAUUGGAGAAAGAGUUGUUAUCAAGAAGAUUAAUAACGUGAUUGAGUAUGUCUGUGAUGCCAUUAGGAUUUUAAGAGAAAUCAAGCUUCUUUGGCUACUAAGGCAUCCUGAUAUCAUAGAAAUAAAUAUCAUGUUACCACCUUCUUGGCGAGAGUAUCACUGAGGUAUGUUGAUUGUUUCACACUAACACUAUGUCGGUAUUUGUAACUAAAUUUAUAUGUACUCAUUAAGCUAUUUGAAGAAGAAAGCUAUUUAAGAGAUGACUUUGAUUGACUCUCAAAGAAAAAAAACUUCAGUCAAUAUGUCUUGGGGCAUGAAACUGACUAUUUUGUAGCAACUUCUCAAUUGUGUGCAUUUAUGUGAAAAUUUUAGGACUUGCAGAAGAUAAACUUGGUAUGAAAAAAUAGAGUAAUGGGUUGUGUCCUAUAGAGCACAAUUUAUGUCCAGUGCUAACACGGAUAUACAAUCAUUGUAGAGAUAUCAAGAAAGGUUGCAGCAGCACAUGAAACAGUGAUCACCAACAACUAUAUGGCAACAGAACCUGCCAGGGUGAUACAUCUGACAGGCAAACAUCAAAGAUGGAACCAAGACCAAUCCCUCCAAUUAAACUAAUAAAUGUUGAUAAGGGCUUUCAAAGAUCAGAUCACAUAGAAAUUCCAGGGAAAAAAGGACGAUUCUCCCUUGCACAUUAUAUUGAGCCCGUGCUGAGCGCGGACGCCCUCCAUCUAAUAUAUAUGUGUGUGUGGAGAUAAUAAAGGGUAUAAAGAAAAUUCAAUCAUAAUUAGGCAGAAGAGGUAGCUUCCUUCACCAUUCUCACGUGAAAAGAGAAAACUAUACCCUAUAGAUUAUUUUUCUUUCUAUUGAAAAUUUUUCAAUUCAUGGUUGUUGGCAACUCACGUGAUGAAAAACUAAGCCCAACGGUAAAUUUUCCUUUUUAUUGAAAAGUUUUUAAUAUUGGUCUGCUAAUUAAAAAUCAAGUAUUCCUUUUUAGAGAAAUAACAUUAUGAAAAAAUAAUCACUGUUGUUGUCCAUCCUCACGUGAAACCACCAUACAGUACGAACCAUUGGCAAGAAAAUCCUUUCUUAACAUGAUCAAGAAAAUCAAUUGAAAAACUUUUUCACCUUUUUAUUUUAUUAACAUUAUGUUGCCACUCAAAAAAAAAUUUAGGCCACGAAUAAAAAUUGAUUUCAUGAUUUAGGUUUCAAAAUAUUCCUCUAGACAAUUCUUAUCACAUAUCAAUAUCUUAAAAAUUGAUAUCCAUGAGUCAAUAAGAGAAAUUUCAAUGAAAAGAGUCAUUCCACACAAAAACAAUGUAGUUUUCAGUUUUGAGAAGAACUCAUGAUGUCAAUUGUUGGAAAAUCAGGCACAGCGAAAGCAAAUAGACAUGAUCACUUGCAUGUAAUAUAGAUAACCAGUAAAAACAUAUCGUUCACGCAAAGAAUGCUUAAAAAUAUUCAGAAAUACCUUUUGAAGAGUGAGCAAAUAGUUUGAAGCAAAUAGCUUGAAGCAAAUCUGUUUUUGAAUCUCUUGAAGCAAAUCUGUUUUUAAAUUUGUGCCGAACUCUCUCAAUACUCGGAUAGGCAAGUAUUGAAUAGAAUACUUUAUUCUUUCUAUUGUCUUUGUUGUUUUUUCUAGGCUAGGUAAAUCCCGAUUCAUAGAAAUACUCUCCCGGUGUAAGGAGGACAUGAAAACACACGCCUGUUUCUAUUUGAUCAAGGAUAAGCGAUGACUUUUUCUUUUUC
rnacentral:lncRNA from 1 species